AUAAGUAUACACGUAUUAUUAUAAUUUGUAUAUAUGUAUUUUUUAUACGACAACAUCGCGAACAACAACACGACAAACAACAACAACACCAUUUUCUACAACAAAAUGACACACGUGAUGCUCUGAGACUCGACGAACUGGUUACACCAUAUCGAGAAGUUAUCCAAUGAGAAAGCCGCUUAAAUUUUGGAGGAUCUAUGAUGAACGACGGAGAAAAAUAACGCUUUGUUUGUGAAACACUUUUUGAACGCAAGCAAGGAUUAUUCAAGACAACAACAGAAACGAAAGCCAAAACAAAAAGAACAAAAAACAAAAACCAAAAAAUAAAUAAAUAAAUAUAACACGAAAACGAACAAAUUUCAACGCAAGUUCUCGACAAAGAAGCCGAAAAAAAUACUUUUAGAGAAUUACAUAUAAAUAUCAAAGCGAAACCUAACGACAAGCAAAAUAAGUAAAAAGAAAAGGAAGAAGCAGA
rnacentral:sRNA from 1 species